AACAAGGUGAACAUUCCUUGACCAGUGGGUAGUGACGGAUCUCUUCCGUGGUUUGGUCUUAUUGGAUUGACCGGGCCAUCACGAGGUUCCAGGAAAUAGCUCCCACAAGAGACCGUACCCGAAACCGACACAGGUGGACUGGUAGAGUAUACCAAGGCGCUUGAGAGAACUAUGCUGAAGGAACUCGGCAAUUUGCCUCCGUAACUUCGGGAUAAGGAGGCCUCAUAGGCGGGCAACCGUUUGUGAGGGGCACAAACUAGGGGGUGGCGACUGUUUAACAAAAACACAGGGCUCUGCUAAGCCGCAAGGCGACGUAUAGGGUCUGACGCCCCGGUGCCGGAAGGUUAAGAGGAGAGGUGCAAGCUUUGAAUCGAAGCCCCGGUAAACGGCGGCCGUAACAAUAACGGUCCUAAGGUAGCGAAAUUCCUUGUCGGGUAAGUUCCGACCUGCACGAAUGGCGUAACGAUCUCCCCGCUGUCUCCAGCAUAGACUCAGUGAAAUUGAAUUCCCCGUGAAGAUGCGGGGUACCUGCGCUUAGACGGAAAGACCCCGUGCACCUUUACUAUAACUUUACACUGGCAUUCGUGCUUGCAUGUGUAGGAUAGGUGGUAGGCUAUGAAGCGAGGGCGCUAGCUCUUGUGGAGCCACCCUUGAAAUACCACCCUUACGAUCAUGGAUGUCUAACCGCGACCCGUCAUCCGGGCCCGGGACAGUGUAUGGUGGGUAGUUUGACUGGGGCGGUCGCCUCCCAAAGAGUAACGGAGGCGUGCGAAGGUGGGCUCAGACCGGUCGGAAAUCGGUCGUCGAGUGCAAUGGCAUAAGCCCGCCUGACUGCGAGACUGACAAGUCGAGCAGAGACGAAAGUCGGCCAUAGUGAUCCGGUGGUCCGUUGUGGAACGGCCAUCGCUCAACGAAUAAAAGGUACGCCGGGGAUAACAGGCUGAUGAUUCCCAAGAGUCCAUAUCGACGGAAUCGUUUGGCACCUCGAUGUCGACUCAUCACAUCCUGGGGCUGGAGAAGGUCCCAAGGGUUCGGCUGUUCGCCGAUUAAAGUGGUACGUGAGUUGGGUUCAAAACGUCGUGAGACAGUUUGGUCCCUAUCUGGCGUGGGCGUCGGAGAAUUGAGAGGAUCUGUCCUUAGUACGAGAGGACCGGGAUGGACGUACCUCUGGUGGACCUGUUGUGGCGCCAGCCGCAGUGCAGGGUAGCUAUGUACGGUCGGGAUAACCGCUGAAGGCAUCUAAGCGGGAAACCCACCUCAAGAUAAGUUCUCCCUUGAAAGCCGUGGUAGACCACCACGUUGAUAGGCCGGGUGUGGAAGUGGAGCGAUCCAUGCAGCUUACCGGUACUAAUCGCCAA
rnacentral:rRNA from 1 species